UUCGAAGCAACGCGAAGAACCUUACCAGGUCUUGACAUCCCUCGACAACCCGAGAGAUCGGGCGUUCCCCUUCGGGGACGAGGGUGACAGGUGGUGCAUGGUUGUCGUCAGCUCGUGUCGUGAGAUGUUGGGUUAAGUCCCGCAACGAGCGCAACCCUCGACCUUAGUUGCCAGCAUUCAGUUGGGCACUCUAAGGUGACUGCCGGCUAAAAGUCGGAGGAAGGUGGGGAUGACGUCAAAUCAUCAUGCCCCUUAUGACCUGGGCUACACACGUGCUACAAUGGGCGGUACAAAGGGUCGCGAACCCGCGAGGGGGAGCCAAUCCCAAAAAGCCGCUCUCAGUUCGGAUUGCAGGCUGCAACUCGCCUGCAUGAAGCCGGAAUCGCUAGUAAUCGCGGAUCAGCAUGCCGCGGUGAAUACGUUCCCGGGCCUU
rnacentral:rRNA from 1 species